rnacentral:rRNA from 1 species
GAUCAUGGCUCAGGAUGAACGCUGGCGGCGUGCUUAACACAUGCAGGUCGAACGAAACACCUUAUUUGAUUUUCUUCGGAACUGAAGAUUUGGUGAUUGAGUGGCGGACGGGUGAGUAACGCGUGGGUAACCUACCCUGUACAGGGGGGAUAACAGCCAAGAAAUGACUGACUAAUACCGCAAUAACGACCACAGCCACCGCAGUGGUGCGAAGGGGUAAAACUCCGGUGGUACAGGAUCGGACCCGCGU